rnacentral:lncRNA from 1 species
CAAAAAAGGCCUCGCCCCCUUUCCCAAGCCACCCUUCCUUGGGAUCAGCCUGCAGUUCCACAGGUAGGGAGACUGGUUUGCCUCAGCUGAAGGCGAUCCUGGGGGAAGACUCUGGGGAUGAGGAGAAGAGGGAAAGGGCGGUGGUGGUGGGUGGAAAAGAGCAGUGGGGUGCAAGGGUCACAGACCUAACAAACAGCUGAUUUUUCAACAGCUGGGAACCUAUGGAAGAAGUGUUCCUGGGGGCCGACUUCGGCAGCUGAGCAGUUACUGUAGUUUCUAUCCCCAUGUCUAGUCACCGAGGGGAAAAAGGUGCCUAAGCAGGAGAAAUAGAAAAAGGUGCAGGCCACCAAGUGGGGUGAAGUGCAGGGUUAGGGCUCAGGAGAACUGCUCAAGCAGUUUGGAAAUCCUGUGCAGCCACGGAAAGUCCCUGUAUAUGUGUUUGUUUGUUUGUGUGUGUGUGUGUAACAGAUAACACCACUCCUUCAAUAUCCCUCACCUUGAGAGCCCUCUUAGGGUUGCUCUGAAUCGAUCAUAAUUCGAUGGCUCAGAAGGCUAAAAAGGUUUAAUUAAAACAACAGGUGCAAGUAAGUCAUUAUUACUUAAAGCUGACACCCCUUCUACUACCGUGUUACAUAGAUGGCUAGCCAAGGAUUCCCUAGAGUACUCCUCUAACCUUCUCUCUCUUUGUGCCUCUUCAGAAGAUGGAUGAAGUGAGCUGAUGGACGGCACCCCUGAAUGUCCUUGGAAAGUUCCUAAUUUGGGGCAGUCACCAGAGGCUCCCUGUUCCCAUCCCCUUCUGGACCCUUCGUCCUGCCCUGUCUGGAGGCCUUACACCUGCCUCUGGGAAGGCCUCCAUCAUCACCCUCUGGAGGACGGAAGGAUGUAACCAGAGAGGAAGAGCCCCCAUCAGCCACCAACCUGCGUGCCUUUCCCCUCUUUCCUUUCCCCCUAGUCUCCCCCCCCACAAGCAAACCUCCUUCCGAGGGGGGCACAGAGAACCCCGUGUCCCGCCUGGAAGGGACACCCGAAUCCUCCCGCCUGGGCCGUUCGGCGGAUCCCCUCUUCAGCCCUGGAUCCCUGCCCUUGAUGGAAACCAGGGGGCUCCAUCCUUCCCCCCCCCACGCUGUCCCUGCCCUCCCACACUCACCACGAUGGCCCAGGUGAGCUGCUCCGUGCGACUGGGGGGCCGGAGGACUCCCUCCCCCUUAGGCCGGCUGAGACGGCCUGAGGGCAGGCCAGCU